ensembl:lncRNA
AUUGGAUGUCCGCGCUGUUCGUCUUUGGAACCGGAAGUUACUCUGUGGCGCAUUUCGUUUGAAGAAGAACGGCGGAAUGUUUUGUCCUAGCUGUGGGAAAAAGCUGGUUGAGGAGUCACCGAACUUUUGCAGCGGCUGUGGCGAGAGGCUUCAUCACGCAUCUUGCAUCGGAGACACUUCACUCCCAUCGACAUCACAGACUACCUCAAACUGCCCGACUCCAACCUUCAGCACCUUCAUAGAAUACAGAAAAAAGAAAAAUGAAGAGAGGCAAAAGUUUUCUGAAGGGAGGAAGGGCUUAAAGAAAAAGGAAAAAAGAAAGGUUCAGAUAAAUGUCGGCUUGAUGACCAUUAAAAAGGGUGGUUUGAAGGCAUACCGUGGAAAAACUAUUUUCCUAACAACAGACCCUGACGCUACUGCCACAAGUCUGCUCAAUCAAGCUGUUAAAAAAAAUGAAGGACUUUAACAAAGAUCUAAAAGAUGGACCUUUCCUUCUUCUGUAUCCGGAUGGCACUGAGGUCAUUACUGUCCCUGGAACACAAAGACCAUUUACACUUGAGGCUUAUAAGGCUGAAGUUGGCAAGCCUUAUCAAAGAAUCACUGUUUUCAUCUGCUUGAAGAGUGACUUUGAGGAUGGUAAGCUGCUAAUGUUUGUUUGGAUUUUGACACACAUUCCCUUAGUUUCAACAACUGCUAAUUUUGAAAUUGUGAAAUGAUAACAUUACGCAUAAAGCACCCAAGUCAAUAGCAUACCUACAUUAAAAUGGUGAAUGGCCUGUAUUUGAUAUAGCACCUUCUAGGGUUCUACAACCCCCAAGACACUUCACAACAAAACCAGUCAUUCACCCACACACAUUCACACACUGCUGGUGAUUAGCUACAAUGUGGACACAACUGUCCUGGGACUCACUGACUGAAGCAAGGCUGCUGUACACAGAUGCCACCUGUCCCUCCCACUACCACCACCUGGCAUGGAGGGUGAAGUGUCUUGCCCAAGGACACAACGACUGUGACAGACUGAGCAGGGCUCAAACCUUCAACCUUUUGAUUACAGGGCGGGCUUUUAACUCCUCUGCCACCAUUGCUCCCUAAAUUAGCUUGUAUAUGUUAUGUUUCUUCCUGGAAACAUGAAAUUCAGCCAUUUUUGGAUCUACUGAGUCAUGAGUUUUCAAUGCUAACUUUAUGCCUUUCGUCUUAAUCUAUUAUUGAUGAUCAAAUAAAGUUUCAUACAUUAGUAUGAAUUUAGUUAGCUUAGCUUGAUUUGUUUUCAUGUAUUGUAGUUGGAGAAAACUCAGACUUGUCUGACUCUGACCCAGAGAUUGUUAUUAAAAGGCCCUCUGAGUUUGAUCUUGCUGAUACACUGGUAAGUACAAUUUAAAAAAUUUUAUAGAGUUUUCUUGUUGUUUAGCCACCACCAUUUGCCUCAGUUCAGUAAAACAGUUAAUAGUUAUAUGUGAAAUACAUUUUGUGUGUGUGUGCGUGCUUGCGUGCGCGUGUUUGUUUGUUUGCUUGUUUAUUUGUUUCAGCCAUGGGAAUUCCAACAUGAAAGCAGUCCUUUACAGAAAGCGGCAGAAUAUGAGAAGGGUGCUGGGGAUCUUGUGCUUGCUAAUGAAGUACAACAGGUCAUAGAUUUGGAAGAAGAAAACGAUACAGGCACUACUGAAUGCCUCACUGUGGAGAGCUCCUGUUACAGAAACUACACACAGCUGUUUGAUCCGAUUGUGAUUGAUGAUGAAGAUCCUACUCCUAACGAAGCCAAAGCUGAGCCCCCAGAAGAACCUGUAGACCCCAAUUUGCAGGCACAUGAAAUUAUUGCAAAUUUGACACUGGAACUUGACCACAAGAAGGUCAGCAGGUUCAAUAUAUCAAGGUCAGCUGUAUGGGAUGGAGCUGUUAGAUGAAAUCCAUCAUCAUCAAGUUUAAUGAUGAUGCUGGCAGCUUUGAAGAAGGUUUGGAUACAGGUGGCCCGAGGCGUGAAUUCCUCACACUUCUUAUGGGCAGUCUGAGAAAUCGCCCAUCUUUGAUGGACCUCCAGAAACCGUUAUCUUGUAUAUAAUUCAAGAGGUGGAUGUUUUCUCCGUAAUUAUUACAAUGAAAAUUUUAAUAAAAAUUGGCUUAUUUUUUUCAUUAGCAUAUUUAAUAGCAAUUAAC